CAAAUGAAAAAAAUCACGACAGGUAACAAAAUUAAUCAGCAAAAGUGAAAAAAAAAAUGGAAUAAACAGAGAUUCAUUUACUUUAUUAUGGAGUAAAUUAGAUAAACACAUAAAGUAUACAAAAAAAAAUAAGAAAACAAAGGAAACAUAAAUAUAUAAUUUAGACUAUAAAAUUCAGUCUACAUAAAUCAGCUGUCUUAUAUCAGAUCAAACUUAUUUUGGCCUUGCAUUACGCCUGCCCUUGCAACUUGCAGUUUGGCUACAUGGCCUUAAAAUGACAAACAACAAGACAGGAUGGUUUCUAAGAACAUAAAAUCAAUCAUCUCACUUAAAAUACAAAUCAUUCUUAUCUUAUAACAUUUGACUCCUCUACAGAUAGUCAAUGAAAGGCGAAAACCACCAUUAGUAACAAUCAGUAGUAGGAAAAACACGUAUCAGAAAAAAAAUUACCAUGGCAAUGUAAAUGGAACAUAACCUUGUGACAAGCAGGUUUCUCACUGGCGGUGGAAUGUUAUUCCAGCAUUUGGAAGCAAUAUAACGGAAACUACUUUGGAAAGCGGCCGAAGCGUGGCGUGGCGUGGUGGUACCAGUUGAAUUCCACGUUCACUGGGAUCGCCGAACCCACUGCAAAAUAACUUAUUUAAAAAUACAAGUUUCAUUUUUAUGCCUUUAA